rnacentral:rRNA from 1 species
CCAGAGAUGGAUUGGUGCCUUCGGGAACUUAGAUACAGGUGCUGCAUGGCUGUCGUCAGCUCGUGUCGUGAGAUGUUGGGUUAAGUCCCGCAACGAGCGCAACCUUUUCCUUAUUUGCCAGCGGGUCAUGCCGGGAACUUUAAGGAUACUGCCAGUGACAAACUGGAGGAAGGCGGGGACGACGUCAAGUCAUCAUGGCCCUUACGGCCAGGGCUACACACGUGCUACAAUGGUCGGUACAAAGGGUUGCUACCUCGCGAGAGGAUGCUAAUCUCAAAAAGCCGAUCGUAGUCCGGAUCGCAGUCUGCAACUCGACUGCGUGAAGUCGGAAUCGCUAGUAAUCGCGGAUCAGAAUGCCGCGGUGAAUACGUUCCCGGGCCUUGUACACACCGCCCGUCACACCAUGGGAGUUUGUUGCACCAGAAGUAGGUAGUCUAACCGCAAGGAGGACGCUUACCACGGUGUGGCCGAUGACUGGGGUGAAGUCGUAACAAGGUAGGCGUAGAUGA